AAAUAUUGGGACAUAUAAAAAAUACAACUCUGUAUUUUUGUAGAGUAGCUGUUGACAUUAUAGUUGCGCAGGAACUUUGUUGACUCUAGAGAACCUCGGGCAAAUCGCACACCCCCGUGGCGGCGACUUUGCGUUCGGAUGUCAUCCAUAUCAACUUUCAAUGCCAGUUUCUGCACCUACCAUGGUGACCACGGGUAACGGGGAAUCAGGGUUCCAUUCUGUACAGGGACCCUGAGAAACAGCUACCACAUGCAAGGAAGGCAGCAGGCACGCAAAUGACCCACUCCCGACGCGGGAAGGUAGUGAU